UACGGGGGAGCAAGCGUUGUUCGGAUUUACUGGGCGUAAAGGGCGCGUAGGCGGUCGUGACAAGUCACUUGUGAAAUCUCCGGGCUUAACUCGGAACGGUCAAGUGAUACUGUCGGACUAGAGUACAGAAGGGGCAACUGGAAUUCUCGGUGUAGCGGUGAAAUGCGUAGAUAUCGAGAGGAACACCUGCGGCGAAGGCGGGUUGCUGGGCUGAUACUGACGCUGAGGCGCGGAAAGCCAGGGGAGCGAACGGG
rnacentral:rRNA from 1 species